CUCUGCUCCUGCUAUGCUCCAACCUCACUCUUCCCUGAUUUCUCCUCCUGGCAUUCCAGGCUCCUGGACCCCAGUAUCUUCUUCAGACUGAGGAUUUGACUUCUGCUUGGUCUCCUAGGGGAAUGGCUAUUUCUGGCCCAUAACAAAGAAAGGGUCGUCAGCAGGACACAGCCAUGAGCCUCGGCGUUUAUUCCUUCCUCUCUGGAGUGCCUUCCCCUACUACAGAGAUUUGAAAGCUUGAACUACAUUUCCCACAGCCCUUUGCAGUCAGGGUCCUGGUUACAAAAUCAGUUCUGUAAGAGAAGCACUUACAUGACGUUAGAAGACAGAAGGCAAACAGGAAAGACCAGUGUCCAGCCUCCUGCUCCAGUCGCAGCAGUGGCUGGAUUCAGCAUCCCCAUGGCCAGCCAUCAGCUUUCUGUGUCAAAAGGCAGCUGUCUCUACGACUGAGGAUUUAGGCCCACGGGCACUGGCAGCUCCCUAAUCCCAUCUUCCCGAUUCCCUGGGUCACAGCUAUGACAACGUGUUCCUGGAGUUAAUUUCCUGUUCCUUGGUAUUCUGGUAGUCAUUCCUGGAGACCCAGACUGGAAUUGAGCCAUCAGCCUCUUCAGAUGAUUUUGUAAAUCUUUAAGUGCCUGUAUUAAAUCCCUUCCUGCUUAAAGUACCUGGCAUGGUUUCUGUUCCCUACACUCAACCUGGACUAGCAAGGAGUCAGUAACAGCUGGAGCAGGUAAAUCCUAAAUCAGAGCUACUGUCUGGGCAUCUCUAAAAUAUAAAUUGCCCCAAGGUCUAAGCGACUUGUCCUGGAAGUAGACGUUUUCGACCUCGAUCACCACUGUCCUACAGAGCUGGACCAAGUGAUACCUGCCUUCAUUUUAUGUGAUGGUCUUUAUACACCAGCUGUUCAGAAUUCUUGAACCCCAGAAUAAAGGGUUUAAGGAGCCCAGCAGCCCUAGGAACUAACACAGGCACCGACUGCACCAAGCAGGAUUCUGGAAGCUGAGGUUACAGUGGAGAAGGAAACAGGGGAGCAGCUGCUCUGUCCUAUAAGGUGGCGUAAGUAUGGAGAACAGGCCCAGACUCUUCCUAACAGCCCACGGGAGCCAGCAGGAGCCAGCAGGAGGCCAGUGGGGAUGGAGAGAGGAUGGCACAAAGGGACGGCAAGGUCCGGCAGGGGUUGGGAACACUGAGGCAGCCGCAGACUCUACAAGGUCUCCAGGUCCAGAGCGUGGACCCUCUGAAGUCAGUCCUUCCUCCACAGUUUCUGUCUGAAAUCCUGCUCCACGUUGUGUUCGGCUUUCACGUGGCACACGCCUCUCCUUGCUGGACACGCCAGCCAGGCUUUGUCAUUUCAUCCUAUCUUUUUUGUCAGCUCAUGACAGUAACAGCAGUGUCACUCCAAAACAACCUUGGCAUUCACACCAGCACCUAUCUGGGCACCAAAAUCUCGAGGUGACACUUGGCUUUGAGGCCAGCCUCCCACAUCUUUCAGAGCAUGCUCCAUGAGUGACCUGAAUCUGCCUGCUGACAUCCUCAGGUGGAAUAUGCCACCAGGGUCCCUUCUCCAGCCCCACCACACUGCGGCCCACUCCUUCCAGGCACCCCGGAACACUGUCCGACAGCGCCGACCCACAGGAUGUUCCAGGACCAUGGAAGUGCUUUAUGUCUGUGCUGUCUAAUACAGGAGUUAUUGAACAUUAGAAAUGUUGUUAGUGGGCUGGGGAACUGAACUUUUAAUUGCAUUUAGUUGUAGUUAAUUUAAGUGUAAAUCAUCACUUGUGGCUCGUGGCUACCUUACUGGGUAGCUCUGGCUAGCUCUACGGGAUCUAGGUCAGCCUUCUUAAAAAGAUGGAAGAGGUUGGGUGUGAUGGCUCACACCUGUAAUCCCAGCACUUUGGGAGGCCGA
rnacentral:lncRNA from 1 species